rnacentral:rRNA from 1 species
UCAAGUGAAGAAGCGCAUACGGUGGAUGCCUUGGCAGUCAGAGGCGAUGAAAGACGUGGUAGCCUGCGAAAAGCUUCGGGGAGUCGGCAAACAGACUGUGAUCCGGAGAUGUCUGAAUGGGGGAACCCAGCCAUCAUAAGAUGGUUAUCUUGUACUGAAUACAUAGGUGCAAGAGGCGAACCAGGGGAACUGAAACAUCUAAGUACCCUGAGGAAAAGAAAUCAACCGAGAUUCCCUUAGUAGUGGCGAGCGAACGGGGACCAGCCCUUAAGUUGUAUUGAGAUUAGCGGAACGUUCUGGAAAGGACGGCCAUAGUGGGUGAUAGCCCUGUACGCGAAAAUCCCUUUGCAAUGAAAUCGAGUAGGACGGGGCACGAGAAACCUUGUCUGAAUAUGGGGGGACCAUCCUCCAAGGCUAAAUACUACUGACUGACCGAUAGUGAACCAGUACCGUGAGGGAAAGGCGAAAAGAACCGCGGAGAGCGGAGUGAAAUAGAUCCUGAAACCGUAUGCGUACAAGCAGUGGGAGCCCACUUGUUGGGUGACUGCGUACCUUUUGUAUAAUGGGUCAGCGACUUAUUUUCAGUGGCGAGCUUAACCGAAUAGGGGAGGCGUAGCGAAAGCGAGUCUUAAUAGGGCGUCUAGUCGCUGGGAAUAGACCCGAAACCGGGCGAUCUAUCCAUGGGCAGGUUGAAGGUUGGGUAACACUAACUGGAGGACCGAACCGACUACCGUUGAAAAGUUAGCGGAUGACCUGUGGAUCGGAGUGAAAGGCUAAUCAAGCUCGGAGAUAGCUGGUUCUCCUCGAAAGCUAUUUAGGUAGCGCCUCAUGUAUCACUGUAGGGGGUAGAGCACUGUUUCGGCUAGGGGGUCAUCCCGACUUACCAAACCGAUGCAAACUCCGAAUACCUACAAGUGCCGAGCAUGGGAGACACACGGCGGGUGCUAACGUCCGUCGUGAAAAGGGAAACAACCCAGACCGUCAGCUAAGGUCCCAAAGUCAUGGUUAAGUGGGAAACGAUGUGGGAAGGCUUAGACAGCUAGGAGGUUGGCUUAGAAGCAGCCACCCUUUAAAGAAAGCGUAAUAGCUCACUAGUCGAGUCGGCCUGCGCGGAAGAUGUAACGGGGCUCAAACCAUGCACCGAAGCUACGGGUAUCAUCUUUUGAUGAUGCGGUAGAGGAGCGUUCUGUAAGCCUGUGAAGGUGAGUUGAGAAGCUUGCUGGAGGUAUCAGAAGUGCGAAUGCUGACAUGAGUAACGACAAUGGGUGUGAAAAACACCCACGCCGAAAGACCAAGGUUUCCUGCGCAACGUUAAUCGACGCAGGGUUAGUCGGCCCCUAAGGCGAGGCUGAAAAGCGUAGUCGAUGGAAAACAGGUUAAUAUUCCUGUACUUCUGGUUAUUGCGAUGGAGGGACGGAGAAGGCUAGGCCAGCCUGGCGUUGGUUGUCCAGGUUUAAGGUGGUAGGCUGAGAUCUUAGGUAAAUCCGGGAUUUCAAGGCCGAGAGCUGAUGACGAGUGUUCUUUAGAACACGAAGUGGUUGAUGCCAUGCUUCCAAGAAAAGCUUCUAAGCUUCAGGUAACCAGGAACCGUACCCCAAACCGACACAGGUGGUUGGGUAGAGAAUACCAAGGCGCUUGAGAGAACUCGGGUGAAGGAACUAGGCAAAAUGGCACCGUAACUUCGGGAGAAGGUGCGCCGGUGAGGGUGAAGCAUUUACUGCGUAAGCCCACGCCGGUCGAAGAUACCAGGCCGCUGCGACUGUUUAUUAAAAACACAGCACUCUGCAAACACGAAAGUGGACGUAUAGGGUGUGACGCCUGCCCGGUGCCGGAAGGUUAAUUGAUUGGGUUAGCGCAAGCGAAGCUCUUGAUCGAAGCCCCGGUAAACGGCGGCCGUAACUAUAACGGUCCUAAGGUAGCGAAAUUCCUUGUCGGGUAAGUUCCGACCUGCACGAAUGGCGUAACGAUGGCGGCGCUGUCUCCACCCGAGACUCAGUGAAAUUGAAAUCGCUGUGAAGAUGCAGUGUAUCCGCGGCUAGACGGAAAGACCCCGUGAACCUUUACUAUAGCUUUGCACUGGACUUUGAAUUUGCUUGUGUAGGAUAGGUGGGAGGCUUUGAAGCGUGGACGCCAGUCUGCGUGGAGCCAACCUUGAAAUACCACCCUGGCAACUUUGAGGUUCUAACUCAGGUCCGUUAUCCGGAUCGAGGACAGUGUAUGGUGGGUAGUUUGACUGGGGCGGUCUCCUCCUAAAGAGUAACGGAGGAGUACGAAGGUGCGCUCAGACCGGUCGGAAAUCGGUCGUAGAGUAUAAAGGCAAAAGCGCGCUUGACUGCGAGACAGACACGUCGAGCAGGUACGAAAGUAGGUCUUAGUGAUCCGGUGGUUCUGUAUGGAAGGGCCAUCGCUCAACGGAUAAAAGGUACUCCGGGGAUAACAGGCUGAUACCGCCCAAGAGUUCAUAUCGACGGCGGUGUUUGGCACCUCGAUGUCGGCUCAUCACAUCCUGGGGCUGAAGCCGGUCCCAAGGGUAUGGCUGUUCGCCAUUUAAAGUGGUACGCGAGCUGGGUUUAGAACGUCGUGAGACAGUUCGGUCCCUAUCUGCCGUGGACGUUUGAGAUUUGAGAGGGGCUGCUCCUAGUACGAGAGGACCGGAGUGGACGAACCUCUGGUGUUCCGGUUGUCACGCCAGUGGCAUUGCCGGGUAGCUAUGUUCGGAAAAGAUAACCGCUGAAAGCAUCUAAGCGGGAAACUUGCCUCAAGAUGAGAUCUCACUGGAACCUUGAGUUCCCUAAAGGGCCGUCGAAGACUACGACGUUGAUAGGUUGGGUGUGUAAGCGCUGUGAGGCGUUGAGCUAACCAAUACUAAUUGCCCGUGAGGCUUGACCA